rnacentral:tmRNA from 1 species
GGGGGCGACUUGGCUUUGACGGAUUGUUGAAGAGAAAGUAUAAAGCAUGUGGAGUUCGGCUGCCUUAGUGCGAAAAAAUGCUUAAACGCAAACUAUAAUACAAGCUUGGUUGCUGCGUAAUGCAACUCGCAUUUGUUGAAUGCCGCGAUCAACAAAUUGCGUCAAACAGUGGCUUUGGAAAAAUUGGGUUUCUCGACAAGUUUUCCGAGAUUUUGAGAAUAGCAAAAUUCAAAUUUGUUUGUGGAUGAGAAUUUUGCGAAUGCCAACCACAAACUAAACAUGUAGAAAGGCUUUUGUUUCACUUUUCGGACGUGGGUUCAACUCCCACCGCUUCCACCA